GACGAACGCUGGCGGCGUGCUUAACACAUGCAAGUCGAGCGGUAAGGCUCCUUCGGGAGUACACGAGCGGCGAACGGGUGAGUAACACGUGAGCAAUCUGCCCUUCACACGGGGAUAACUCCGGGAAACCGGUGCUAAUACCCGAUACGACCACCUCAGGCAUCUGAUGGUGGUGGAAAGUUCCGGCGGUGAAGGAUGAGCUCGCGGCCUAUCAGCUUGUUGGUGGGGUAAAGGCCCACCAAGGCAACGACGGGUAGCCGGCCUGAGAGGGUGACCGGCCACACUGGGACUGAGACACGGCCCAGACUCCUACGGGAGGCAGCAGUGGGGAAUAUUGGACAAUGGGCAAAAGCGGGAUCCAGCAACGCCGCGUGAGGGAUGACGGCCUKCGGGUUGUAAACCUCU
rnacentral:rRNA from 1 species